CUUCUGGGUAAAGGAGCAGUGCGGUGGCCCCGAGCAGGAGAGAGGCCCCGGCAGAAGACACCAGGGAAAGCAAGGCAGGAAAGUACAUGCCCAAGAUCCUGGGUACAUUCAAAGGCAAGAAAAUACCAAUUUUGACAAUCACCCACAGAUGAGAGAGCCUUUGUGGAAGUCCAAAAGCUUAGCCCAGAAGUACCAGCACACUAUUGGAGCAAAAAAAAUCCAAGAUUGGAUACACUGAAGAGGCAAGACACAGCAAGAGAAGGAACACAAGCAGGGGGAGUGCGAGAGGG